UUUUUACAUUUGUUCAUUUUCAGAUUACGCCUAAUUUGUAAAUAUUGUGUAAAAUAAAUCUAAAUCAAAUUUCAGCAGUUGUUAUGCAUGUGUUGCCAUGAAAUCAGCAUCUCACAUCAGAAACCAGCACUCCUCUUUACCUGACCUGCUGGUGACGGGGCUCCCGGAGCGAGAUGCUGAAAAACAAUGAGACGUGCAUCUAAAGCAGAUGAAAAAAAACAACAACAACAAAAACACGGAACAGGGAUGCAGACGUCCUUUAGGAAGAAAGUAGUGUUGGCUAUGAAUCACUUCUUCAAACAUGUGACGUUAAAUCAGAGAUGCUACGAAAUAAUUCCGGCACAUGAACCUUAGCUGUGUGGACGUCAAAGCUGAGCGUUCGUCAGAAGUCAUCUGAAGCACAGAGAGCGAUGAAGACGUGCUGGAAGAGCCGGCCGGUCUGGAAUCUGCUGCUUUCAGGAAACAUUUCAGGAAACAAACAGAGCUCUGAAAACACUAGACACACUUAGUACAUCGGUACACUUUGUGUGCAUCUCUUUAUUUUGUGUUUGUAUAUUUUUUUAGAUACUGUACAUAUUUGAAAGUCUUUGUAAGGACUGUAAGUAGAACUGCAUUAUGAGCCGUGAUCAUGUGCAUGUGUUUUGAGGAACAGGCUGAUCUUGAUCUCAGGUGCCAUCGUUCUCUGAUGGUUAUGGACUGUAGUUAUAGUAAAUAUUCCUGCAGUGUGAUCAUCACUGUUACCGUGACUGUGUUUCUCUGUCUCUGAAGCGUUUGUUGGGUAAAUCUGCACCUCUCGUAUGAUGUGCUGUCUCAGGGGAGUCCUUUCUUUAAAUCAAUAAAUCAUGAAAAUGAAUGAAAACACAAAGAGUGCUUCUGAUAUUCAAGCCUUCAGGAGCUUAACCCUGCUCCUCUCUUUAUACUGUACUUAACACUUUAUUUUAAGGUGUCCUUGUUACACGUUACGUGUACUUGCUAUUAUAAUAACAAUUAAUUAUGCAAAAAUACAUACAAGUAACCCUUAGCCAGAUCCUAACCAUAUACAUGUAAGUUAAUAUCACUCAGCACUUAAACAAGGACACCUUAAAAUAAAGUGUAACCCAAAUGACUAAACGUGUGUAAUAAAGACAGUUGAGCCCUCUUCUGAAGUGAAUAUUAUUGAUUAUUGGUUUGUAUGGCACUUAUUGAGUGAUGUUCAGGUUUCUUCUUCUACUAU
rnacentral:lncRNA from 12 species